UAACGCGUGAGCAAUCUGCCUUUGGAUGGGGGAUAACAGCCGGAAACGGCUGCUAAUACCGCAUAAUGCAACGGGACCGCAUGGUCCUGCUGCCAAAGAUUUAUUGUCCAAAGAUGAGCUCGCGUCUGAUUAGCCAGUUGGCGGGGUAACGGCCCACCAAAGCGACGAUCAGUAGCCGGACUGAGAGGUUGAACGGCCACAUUGGGACUGAGACACGGCCCAGACUCCUACGGAAGGCAGCAG
rnacentral:rRNA from 1 species